ACAUCUCCUUUCACCUCAGCAAAUAAAUGUUUAUCAAAUGGAAGUGGAAGUGAAGACUAUGGUAGAACUGGAAGUUUGGAUCAUGCUUCAUACUGUCACCUGUUAGACUGUUCUUCACUUUCCAUUCUUGAUACAACAAGGGUGAAGGAUAUGGAUGAAGCAGCCAGAUAGUUGCUGGUCCAUCAUGUUGCAAUCAGAUUGAUGCUUAUAGGGCGUUCGCUGUUCCUUGAUUGAUUACAUAUGGAAAGGUGAAUGCGAAAUUCAGAACUCUUCAAGGUUGCCCAGAAUCUUGUAUAGAAUUCAAGCACACUUGUCUACAAUGUCAUCAUCCAAAAUACCUGAAGCAGUAAAGAACUUUUCCAACAAAAUUCUUUUGGAGGAAGUAUCUCGCUUGACUGCAUGGCCUAUUCAGUUCCAGGAAUAUUAUCCCCAAGAUGAUAGUAUUGGCCUUUACAUUUUUGCAGAAGACAUUGAAAGCUAUAUAAACUACAAGAGCUUGGUGCAAUACAUGGUUGACUGUGAUAUAGCUCUAAAAGGAAAUU